rnacentral:rRNA from 1 species
GUUGAACGCUAGCGGCAUGCCUUACACAUGCAAGUCGAACGGCAGCACGGGGGCAACCCUAGGUGGCGAGUGGCGAACGGUGAGUAAUGCAUCGGAACGUGCCCAUCGAUGGGGGAUAACUGCGCGAAAGCGUUGCUAAUACCGCAUACGACCUACGGGUGAAAGCAGGGGACCGCAAGGCCUUGCGUCGAUGGAGCGGCCGAUGCCGGAUUAGCUAGUUGGUGAGGUAAAGGCUCACCAAGGCGACGAUCCGUAGCUGGUCUGAGAGGACGACCCAGCCACACUGGGACUGAGACACGGCCCAGACUCCUACGGGAGGCAGCAGUGGGGAAUCUUGGACAAUGGGCGAAAGCCUGAUCCAGCAAUGCCGCGUGUGGGAAGAAGGCCUUCGGGUUGUAAACCACUUUUGGCGGGAAAGAAAUGGUCUGUGCUAAUACCACGGAUUGAUGACGGUACCCGCAGAAUAAGCACCGGCUAACUACGUG